rnacentral:rRNA from 1 species
GACGUAGGGCGCGAGCGUUGUCCGGAUUUAUUGGGCGUAAAGAGCGCGUAGGCGGUCCGAUAAGUCGGCUGUGAAAGUCAGGGCUCAACCCUUGAAAGCCGGCCGAUACUGUCGGACUAGAGUCCGGAAGAGGCAAGUGGAAUUCCCGGUGUAGCGGUGAAAUGCGCAGAUAUCGGGAGGAACACCAAUGGCGAAGGCAGCUCGCUGGGACGUUACUGACGCUGAGACGCGAAAGCGUGGGAGCAACAGGGAUUAAGAACCCAGUAC